AUUUACUUCCUGUGCAGCUGCUGCUGGGGGCAUCCUCUUCCUCAACGAAUCUUCGUGGGGCCUUCGCAGAACGCUUGGACCUCUCCAUGCUGAAACCUGCAAGACAAGAAACAGAAAAUGAACCCUUAAAUUGUUACAUCCCUAAAUAGGUCUUCCACUUUCCAAAGUUACACUAUUAUUUUUUCCUCUCUUCCAUUUUGAGGAAUAUAUUGAAGAGCACUGUCCCAAGAGAUCCCUCUAGGAAUGGACAUAUCCUUCCACUAUUGAAUGAACUUUUUACUUUAACUCACGCUUUCACAUUUAUGUUAAAUCAGAAAGAUAUUUACCUCAAAAUAUUCACACGCUACUGUAAAGAUAUUUUAGUCCCAGGACUUGCAAGGGAGUGCACAUCUAGCAUGUGCAGGCACAUUCAUGUUAUUUCCCGAUUCAUUUUAAAAUGCUGGCAAGUAUAAUAUAUUUUCAUGAGAUUUGUGUGUGGUGUUCCAUUAAUCUAACAUACAAGCCUAGUGAAUACACUUUCCAAACAGAUUAACACUUAGUUUUUUAAUGGCGAACCCCCCCCCACACCCACACACACAUAGUUUGCCUUAUUUGUAGGAGACAAUUUGAUCUUGUUACUGAGUAGACAAAGGGUUGUCACUGGUAUUUUGUUAGUAACACUUGUAUUGUUUUACAUGAUCUUAUCACCCCUGCGCAGACUUACUAGGGGAAGACAUGUAGCAGGGUCAGGUUUAUGAAGCCUGUAGUGUGCACUUAUAAUUCUAAUGAUGGGAAAACCCACAAUUUCCUUAGUUUAAUCCCUUAAGGACCACAGCACUUUUCCAUUUUCUUACCGUUUGGGACCAAGGCUAUUGUUACAUUUUUGCUAUGUUUGUGUUUAGCUGUAAUUUUCCUCUUACUCAUUUACUGUACCCCCACAUAUUAUAUACUGAUUUUCUCGCCAUUAAAUGGAGUUUCUAAAGAUACCAUUAUUUUCAUCAAUAAUUUACUAUAAAAAAAGUAUAAAAUAUAAGGAAAAAAUUGAAAAAAAAAACACUUUUUCUAACUUUGACCCCCAAAAUCUGUUACACAUCUACAACCACCAAAAAACACCCAUGCUUAAUAGUUUCUAAAUUUUGUCCUGAGUUUAGAAAUACCCAAAUGUUUCCAUGUUCUUUGCUUUUUUUGCAAGUUAUAGGGCAAUAAAUACAAGUAGCACUUUGCUAUUUCCAAACCAUUUCCCCCCCCCCCAAAUUAGCGAUAGUUAAAUUGAAACACUGAUAUCUGUCAGGAAUCCCUGAAUAUCCCUUGACAUGUAUAUGAAUUUUUUUAGAAGACAAGUAGAAAAUUAGAAAUAAAAAAGAGGGCGCCGCAUAGCGUAAUAUUGUUGGAUCUGAGUCAAAGUAGAUACAAUCAAAAGGCUUACCGAAAGGAUAUGCACCGUGCUGUGACCGGUGCUAUCAGGCAGACUAGCACUCUCAGUGGUUAGCACACUGGUGAGUCAAUGGUAUGCUGCGUCUAGUCCAAGGCAGGUAAAACUCUGUGUGGCUCUGUUAAAGGUGAGCGUAAAUCGUGAAUGAAAUGCGUGUGGACGGGCAAAAGUGUAGCACAAAUGUGAAGCGGCGGCUCCUCUGGUCCUCGGAGUGAAGAGUCUGAAAAUUAGAAAUAAAAAAGAGGGCGCCACAUUUUUAGAAGACAACCCAAAGUAUUGAUCUAGGCCCAUUUUGGUAUAUUUCAUGCCAAAUGCGUUUAAAUAAAAAAAAUCGUUAACUUUGUCACAAACUUUUUCACAAUUUUAGGUUUCUCACUGAAAUUAUUUACAAACAGUUAGUGCAAUCAUGGCACAAGUAAUUGUAAAUUCUUCUCUAGGAUCCCCUUUGUUCAGAAAUAGCAGACAUAUAUGGCUUUGGCAUUUCUUUUUGUUAAUUAGAAGGUUGCAAUAUGCUGCUGCGCACCACACGUGUAUUAUGCCCAGCAGUUAAGGUGUUAGGUAGCUUGUAGGGUUAAUUUUAGCUUUAGUGUAGAGAUCAGCCUCCCACCUGACACAUCCUGACCCCCCUCAAACAGCUCCCUUCCCUCCCCCACCCCACAAUUGUCAUCGCCAUCUUAAGUACUGGCAGAGAGCAGGCACAUCUAAGAGAGGGACAGAGGGUGCACAUGGGGACAGAAGGGGGGAGGAGGGAGAGGAUAGGGAGGAACCCACACCAGGGACAUCACAGGGAGAAAGCCAAGUGUCCAUGGAGGAUGAGAGGCUGAGAUGUCCCAACUUCUCAUUUGCUGAAAAAGUUGCCCUUGUCCAGGCCAUCAUGGACAAUUACAGUGACCUCUUCGGGCAGGAGAAGGGCAAAGGCAUUGCCAAAAAGAGAAAAACGGCAUGGUUGGUGCUAGAGGAUGCCAUCAACAGUGUGGCCCCCGCAGAGGAGGACUGCUGAGUGCCUUAAAAAACGUUAGAAUGACUACAAGAGGCAGGUCAAAGAAAAGAUGGGGCUGGCAGCUAUGCACCAGAAGCGAACAGGAGGUGAUACGCAGGUCCCUGAGUAUCACAGCAAUCCAUGGACUUCCAGGGGCUCAUGACUCAGGGGCUGCAACCACAGCACAUCAUGCUGAACCUCCUGUUACGAUGAUACAAAUAUCCAUGCCACCACCACCACCACAGUAUGCUCCUAGGCAUGAGCAUGGUUGGAUGGCUUCAGUUGAGGACUUGGGACUGAUGCCACCACCAUUGCCAUAUGACCCCUGACAAGAUUCCUGGCCAGAGGAAUAUCCUCCCUUUGGCUUUGAGGGGGAGCCAAGACAGCCACAAAGGGUCCAUGUAUUUACCCUCCCCCCACAACACAAUCUCAUGGCAGUCAUGGAUUUUACCCACAGACUAUGUCACAAGAAGUGCCAAUUGGACAGGCUGAGUGGUCACACACUGGUCAUCAGUGGGACUAUCAAUCAACCAUAAGAGCUCGACCAUCCUCAUCACUUGAACGAGCUCCACCAUCCUCAUCACUUGGAUGAGCUCCACCAUCUGCAGAUGGAAAUAUAGCAGAAACUACAGCUGCACCUCAAGCACCAUCAGAUGCAUCUGAACCUGCCCCAAAAGAACCAUUGGUUGCAGCUGAACCUGCCCCACAAGAACCAGCAGAUGUAGCUGAACCUGCCCCACAAGAACCAGCAGAUGUAGCUGACCUUGCACCAGGAGAUGCAGGUGACCCUGCCCCACAAGCAACUAGAAGCCCUGCUGCUCAAGAGCCUGUGGAUGGAUUGUAUUCUCCCCUGGGUGAGGAAUACAUUGCACUCCAGAGGAGGCUCAUAACAAGCACUGAGAGCAUACAAAGAGGCCAAGAGAGGUUCUUCAGGAACCAAGAAAGGUUAAUCAGGAGCCAAGAUAGGAUCCAACAAUGUAGCAUAGAGCUAUACAGAGGGACAUGGCAGCAUCAUUAAGUGCAAGUGUUCAAAACCAGUCACAGAUAAUGUGAAUUCUGUCUGAUAUGCAGAUGCAAAUGGACAGUAGAUGGAGAGAACAAAAUCAACUCUUGGGUGUGUUGGUUGAGCACUUUACACACCAGCAGGACACUGUCUCAAGCAUAUCAUCUGUGGCCAGCACACCAGCAGAAACACCAGAAUCUUCUAAAACCAGGAGAACAAGGAAAUCCAAUACAGUCACCUCGGCUCUCUCAUCCAAGAAGCCAAAAAAAAUAAAAUAUUCUUUUAGUUCACCAUAAA